CGUCACACGUUUCCCCCAACACCCCCUCCCCCCGCUUUGGGUUUCUGGAAUGGUUGGCUCCACGUCUGGGUUCAAUGUAGCAAUUCUCUGGCCAUGGCGUCUCUCUGAGCCCGGCGAGGGAGGCGGCGUUUUGUUGGCUUUUAAUACAACAGAGACCAGCUCCGGGGGGGGUGGGGGCACGGCGCAGAGACCUCAGCCUCGGUGGUCUGAACAAACCACCCCUCCCUACCUUCCGCUGCUGCUGAACGAGAGCUCCGGGGCGAGGGCAGGUCUGCAGGCACACUCACUGGCUUCGGAAUAAUGUUGUGAAGUGACAGGGAAUCGUCAAGGUAAAGGAGGAAGAGUAAGCAGGAAGCACUGUUUUCUGUAAGUGCCACAGCGAGGGUAUUCCAACUGGGAAGAAGUAUUUGCCGGUUUCACAACACCUGUAGUUCCUCUGGGCCUCUGGCUCUGAGGCUUUAGAGUGCUGCUUCCCUCUGUUCUGGCCUGCCUGCAGCAGCGUUGAGAAGCAGCGAGGGGCACUAUUGCCCUGAAACUGCUGAGGAGUUAAAUCACUAUGGAUUACGUUUCCGCCUUUCCCCUGCCUCCUCUAUUGGCAUGCAAAUCAGCUUGGAGCUCGGGCUUUGCCGAAAGUGAAAUUGCAAAUUGCAGCGAAGAGCCAGGAGUUAAUGGGAGCCGUUUCUGAGCGCAAAUCCACUUGAGCAUUGACAACGCUGGAAGGUGUCAUUCCGGGAUUAAAAGUGGAUGUUUGUGUCAACGCAAGAUCUGUCCCUGUGCCAAAAUGCUGUUUGUACGCCAGGCAGGCUUACCAAGAAAUAAUGUGAGCGAAAAAUCUACACUCUUGUCAGGUUUCUGCAGCGUAUCC